AGAGUUUGAUCAUGGCUCAGGAUGAACGCUAGCGGCAGGCUUAACACAUGCAAGUCGAGGGGUAUAGUUCUUCGGAAUUAGAGACCGGCGCACGGGUGCGUAACGCGUAUGCAAUCUACCUUUUACAGAGGGAUAGCCCAGAGAAAUUUGGAUUAAUACCUCAUAGUAUGUGAGAAUGGCAUCAUUUUCACAUUAAAGUCACAACGGUAAAAGAUGAGCAUGCGUCCCAUUAGCUAGUUGGUAAGGUAACGGCUUACCAAGGCUACGAUGGGUAGGGGUCCUGAGAGGGAGAUCCCCCACACUGGUACUGAGACACGGACCAGACUCCUACGGGAGGCAGCAGUGAGGAAUAUUGGACAAUGGGCGCAAGCCUGAUCCAGCCAUGCCGCGUGCAGGAUGACGGUCCUAUGGAUUGUAAACUGCUUUUGCACAGGAAGAAACAACUCUACGUGUAGAGUCUUGACGGUACUGUGAGAAUAAGGAUCGGCUAACUCCGUGCCAGCAGCCGCGGUAAUACGGAGGAUCCAAGCGUUAUCCGGAAUCAUUGGGUUUAAAGGGUCCGUAGGCGGUUUAGUAAGUCAGUGGUGAAAGCCCAUCGCUCAACGGUGGAACGGCCAUUGAUACUGCUAGACUUGAAUUAUUAGGAAGUAACUAGAAUAUGUAGUGUAGCGGUGAAAUGCUUAGAGAUUACAUGGAAUACCAAUUGCGAAGGCAGGUUACUACUAAUGGAUUGACGCUGAUGGACGAAAGCGUGGGUAGCGAACAGGAUUAGAUACCCUAGUAGUCC
rnacentral:rRNA from 1 species